rnacentral:rRNA from 1 species
ACUAACCUACCUUAACGGGAAGAACCUUACCAGCUCUUGACAUCCCAAGACCGCCACGGAGACGUGGUUUUCCCUUCGGGGACUUGGAGACAGGUGCUGCAUGGCUGUCGUCAGCUCGUGUCGUGAGAUGUUGGGUUAAGUCCCGCAACGAGCGCAACCCUCGCCCUUAGUUGCCAGCAUUCGGUUGGGCACUUUAGGGGGACUGCCGGUGAUAAGCCGAGAGGAAGGUGGGGAUGACGUCAAGUCCUCAUGGCCCUUACGGGCUGGGCUACACACGUGCUACAAUGGCGGUGACAAUGGGCAGCGACCUCGCGAGGGGGAGCCAAUCCCAAAAAGCCGUCUCAGUUCGGAUUGCACUCUGCAACUCGAGUGCCAUGAAGUUGG